AGUUCGGAUGGUGACGUGGUGUGGAGACGAAGCCGGGAGGAAGAAGGCUCUGUUUUCUCCUCCCAGGCUUUUCUCCAUCGCAGCUCACAAGAAACCUUAAGGGUCCAUGGGAAAAGAGAGUUAAGGGUCCAUGUGAGCUUUGGUCUAUGGGUCCACAGGUUAUUAAAAGUUGGAUUGGGUCAGCCGGUUCAAUUAAAUGGGUUAGCCUAAUUGAUUCACUUGGUUCUAAACCAAAUUGAUGGCCCAAUUGAAUGAUUUUUUGAUCCGAAAAAAUUCCAUAUGAGUCCGACUCAUGGGAGGUUCAAUUGGGUCCAGUCUCGGCUCGAUCCAAGUCCACUUAGAUCAAAACAAAUACGAAAUUAAAUCCCAAUUAAAUCAUGAUCGAGUCCAAUUACACUAAUUAAGACCCAAUCAAACCCAAUCUCAACAAUUGAGUCUUGAUCAUGUUUAAUUACAUUAAUUGACACUUGAUCGACCCUGAAUACAGACUUAAUUAGUUCUUUAUCCAUUAAAUUUAGUAUGUACCUCAUGUUCAGUGCUAGCUGAACAUAGACAGGACCAAAUUUCAAAUGAUCCACAAUUUUAAUUCUUAAUUAAAUUGGGUCAAGACCUUCCUACUUAGCUUGACUAAUAUGCGUGACUUCGAUAAGUUCGAAUACUAAGCUGGUAGUAUAUGGACUAGUCCAUGCACUAAUCGAGGUGACCAUCUAGCAAUGAUACCUGACGUUUGGGUAGAUCGAAUAUGCAAAGCAACAUUCAAGAACCUAGACGUAUGGUUACUGCAUAAUUCAUCCCUAUGACUAUCGAGGCUCAAGAUGACCUCAGAGUGGACUGUCGACCUCUGGGUCCGGUCAUCCAUAGUGUAUUUCAAAUAAUCAAAUCAAGUGACCUAUCACUUGGUUUAUCCUAGCCAAGGUUUUACUGAAUUGAAACACAACAAGACAUCAACUUCUAUAAUCUGGAGCGGUCAAUCCCUUCUUGACUCAUACACAGACUUCGCGAGUACUUGACUGCACCCAGCAUCCUUCCGACCCCUGAAUUAAAAAUUCAGGUCGUCUAGUGCCUAAGUACAGUGAGUUGCUUGCAAGUCACUGUGAUAGUCUUAGGUCUAAGGGGUACUUAUGCCCAUACGCUUUGCGAGCUAACUUCCGACAGUGGAGUGCUCUGCAGGUGAGUCACUGUUCAGUGAUGAUGUACUCCUACAUCUCACCUGUAUGCCAUACAGUGUCUCCACACUCCUUGUUUAAGAGGACAAUCAACUAAAUGGCACACAACGACUUAUACUUGACAUAGCUAUUGUCCAAUUGAUAGCUCAUCAUUUGGUCGCAAACUGGUUUAAGGACUAAAUGAUAAAAACCUCCUUUAUCCACUAAAUUAGUCCUAAGAACUUUAUCACAAUACACAGGAGUUCAAAUUGAAGAUGAAACACUUGUAAUAAAUGAAAAAAUGCCAAAAUAAAUUUUAUUCAUUUUAAUAAAACAUAUACAAACUCCAAUUUCUUACAAUUAACAAAAAAUUGGCUUUGGGACACAAUUUCCAACAAUCACUAGAUGGCAAAAAGAGAACAAAAAGAACUCAACCAUGGAGAGAUUAUAUUCCCAUGAAGUAUUUCUAAGUUCUAACAAGGCUGAGGAUAUCAAGCAGUACCAGCCAGUAAAAGAGUGAUUUUUUUCCACUAUCAUUUAAUCUAGCAAGCCUUAUAGUUGUUGCUACUCAUAACCCAACUUGAUGGAACUGACGAGCUAAUGAAGGGUGUAGUUCUGUUUGGCUUGGUUGGAGAUGAACUACACCAUACAAGCUUCAAUCUGUAACCAAAAGAAUAUCAUCAGGGGAUUGUCGAAACAUGUCCGACGAGAAACUUUCUGAUGCUUAAGUUAGGCAAAGUUUUGAGAGGAAACAAGAGAGAUCUGAGAUAAAUGAUAGAGUAGGAGCAUAGCGGAAAGAUUUCUCAUACCUGGGGAUCCCCAUGCACAAUUUAUAUAGAAAGGAGGGUGCUAACCUACAUGAUUCGGAUCACACGAUCCUUGAACAAGUAGCUAAGCUCUUUUCUUAUCCACCAAUCUGGGCAGCUAUAGCCUUCCUUUUUUAGUAUGAUAAGAUUACUCCGAGCUAUAACUGAUUCCACUAAUAUUGAACUGAUUGUUUGGAGAUUUGAUUCGCUAUUGAUUCCACAAGCCAGAUGAGAUUUUGGUGGAUGAUGAAUCCAAGCUAUAUCCUUGCCCUCCACUUCCGAGCCCGACCUAUUUUGUUUGGCUCGGAUGAAGGAAGUAGCUAAGCCGCUCAAUAGUGAGCUACCCGUGCCAAAAUCAAGCUGUUAAACCAUAUUCAAAUAUUUCUGGAAGCUUCAAUUAAUGGCUAACAUGAUUUCCAUGAUGUCAGUUCCUUCAUUUUAGUCAAGGAUCUUUGCGGUGAUGGACUUGUGUAUUUCACCAUCUUGAGGUUUCUCUCCUCGAGUGUCCUCUUGAUCCUAUACUUAGAGAACUUCCAUUUUGAAAAAAAAAUUCAUUCCUCCCUUCCUUUGCCUAUCCAACAGACUUAGGAAUAAGAUAACCAGGACCAAAACCAUAAAAUAAUAAAACAUAAAGAUAACCUCCCAAAAUAUCAAAAAAUUAAAAAUGUAAAAUUAAUCCCAUGAAGGCCUUGAGAAUGGCAACAAACCUCCAGUAAUGCUUCAACAACUUUGUUAUCCUAAUAUCCCUCUUUAGUCUUUAUUUGCACAAAGUGAAAGGGAAGGGCUCCAACCAAAUCCAAUGUGAAUAACUCACAAUGACUUGUUCAUUGUGGUGAAUGAGGGUGGCUCUAUGUUGAACUCUAAGCGGAGCUUUCCAAUAUUCCACUAAGAAAAACAUUCAAGAAACAUGGUAACUAAAAAAAUACAAAAAUGCUAAAUCUGAUCUAUGUAGUUCCAAUAUAUGUUUCAAAUUAUUUCUUUUAUGUUCCUUUAUAUAAAUAUAUGGAAACAAUAAAAAAAGGGUUGAUAUCCCACAUUAAUAAGAAUAUAAUAAAGUUAAAUAUAUAUUAAGCUCACAUAGCACCUAUGGCAAUAGAACAUAUGGCCUUAAGUUUACAAAAACAUCAAGUACACCAAGCUCCAUCUGCAAAUAUAGCAAUCUAUUUUCAGACUUCAGAUGCUUCUUAUUUUCAUCUAAUUUAUACCUACUGUUGGAAACCCUAGUGGUCGCAUGCAUGUAUUUUUAAAGAUUUUACAGUGGAAGCAUGAAUUAAACUAUUUAAUUCCUAUGCAUGCUAGAGAUCAUAUCUCUACAACAAAAAUGGAUCCAGGACUUUAAACAUUUAUCCUAAACAAGUAUGCAUGAUUCUAUGUCUAACAUGUAGUCAUGCAGAAUUUCAGCAACCUAGUUGAUUUCUAAUCCUAAUUAUUAAUGAGAUCAGAUCUCAUAUAUUUUUGCUUUGAGAACUUUGAUGAUGCUUUGAUCACCUUGUGUAUCCGCAUAUGCAUCCGACCUCUACGGAUAGUCCACGCAAAGCUCUAGGAAGAUCCACAACUGCAGGAGUGCUAGCUCGUGCAGAGGUGCUGCAGUGGCUGAAAUUUUCUUCCUCGAAACACUCAACUUUUGAUUCUUCUUGGAGAGGAUGAAGGAUGGAGAUGAAGGAGAAGAAGGAGGAGAGAAGGUGGCCGGCUCUCAGGAUUUUUUCAGAAUUUAGAACCCUUUCUAAAGACCAUCUCCUACAAACCCUAGGCAUGGGGGUCUUUUUAUAGCCAAAAGACCCCCCACGCCGCACACCUCUUUUGGCCAACGAAUUUGGCUGAUAAAAUUCCCAAAAAAUUCUGAUGAAUCAGCAGCUAAGAGUUGAACAAAUUCUCUUCUAAUCUUGUGCCAUGAAUACCUAAAAAUUAGGAAGUUAUUGCGCCCCAAACUUCAGCCGCAUGCCACCCUGCUUGAUGCGCCAUGCAAUCCCUACAAAUUAGGGAUUUGAUUCUUUUCUUUUUAGGAAGAAAAAGCCCCACGCCUCCUCUUUCCUCACGCCACAAAUUGGCUAAAAAUAAAGAGGAUAGGCACCAUUGCUUAUAGGGAUAAGGAUGAGGUGUCUUUCUUCUCCAAGAAAGAAAGCUAGGUACCUAAAAUUUAGGGAUUCUUCUUCUUAUCAAUUUCUAAAUUUUUAAGCUUAGAAUCUUUAUCAAAUAAGGACUUUUAAUAGGCUUGGGUCAAGCCUAAUCCAAUUAGAUCAAGUCCGAUUAAUUGGGUCGAGCCUAUCAACUCGGAUCGAACCCAAUCCAAUUAGGUCAAACCUUGAUGUAGCCCAAAUUGAAUUUUAUUCAAUUUGGCUUAACCUAAGCUCAAUUAUUCAAUUAAUUGAGUUCAUUAAUAAUCUAAUUGCUAAUUAAUCCUUCAAUAAUUCAAUAAUUAUUUUACUGCAACUUUUGCUUAGAAUAAUUUGUCAAUCGAGUUGACCGAUGUACUCCUGGACGAUUCUUAAUCGUCGAUUAGCUAUUUGAUCAACCUAGUAACUUCUAUGCGUAUGACCCCAUAGGUUCGAACCUAAGCCGGUAGCAAAAGAACGACUUUCUGUACUAAUCGAAGUGACCAUCUAGCAAUGGUACCCGACGUCCGGAUAGGCCGAAUAGUUGCAAAGCAAUAUUCUGGAACUCUUGAACUAUGGUUACCGUAUAAUUCAUCCCUAUGACACCAAAUGCCUAGGAUGACUUCAGAGUUCUAUCAACUCGUUAAUCAGUACAUCCAAAAAUGUGAUUCAACCUUAGAAAUUUCGUGACUCCUCACAAGAAUUAUCCUGGCCAAUAUUUUGCUAAAUUGAACACAAGGGCAUUAUCUUCUGUCAUCAGGAGGGGUCAAUUCCAUCUUGACUCACACACCGACUUUGCAAGUACUUGACUGCACUCAGUGACCUUCCGUCCCUGAAUUAGAAAUUCAACUGGUCCGGUACCAAAGUACAGUGAGUUGCUUGCUAAUCACCAUGGUGAUCUCAGGUUUGAGGGACAUAUAUACCCAUAUCCACUUGGAACAUCUCUUGACAGCAGAGCAUUCCGGAAUGGUCACGUUUAGUGAAGUGUACUCCUAUACUUUACCUGUGUGACAUAUCAGUGUCUCCACACUCGUUGGUUAAGAGGACAACCAACGUAUAUGGCACACAAUGACCUAAUCUUGAUAAUGCUGUUGUCCUAGUAACAACACAUCAUUUGGUCGCGAACUAUUUUAAGGACUCGUUGAUAAAUCCUCCUUUAUCAUAAAGGAGUCUUAAGGACUUCAUCUCAAAACAAGAGUUCAUUUGAAGAUGUAUAAAUAAAAUGAUGAAUAAUGGCAAAUAAUAUUUUAUUAAUUAAUCAAUUCAUAUACAAAUUCAAUCAUCAACAGGCUGACGAUUGACUUUUAGGAUACAAUUUUCAAUACCUACAACAUUUCAAACAUCUCUAUUUCAUUAGACAAACCACCCAAAUAAGUGCAUGGAACUAAAUCAACAAUGAAAAUCUAAGUACAUAGAAAAAUUAACGGAAAAAAAGGAUAGUAUCAUCAAUAUAUUCUUCUAUUGGGCUUUGGUUGACUCACUUAAGAAGUUGAUGACGACUUCACCAGCUUCACCUUCAAGAGAAGGGCCAUUCUCGUGACCAUCUAAUUUGUGGAUAUUGCACUUGUGUAGUAAAUUGCAUACCCUAUGCUAUUAUAUGCCACUUGGUACCUCAUUGAGUCCACCACACCCUAUGCCUAAACCUAUUCCUCCUAUACUGUGUAUUGCUCCACCACCUUCGCUUUCACCAGUGAUGGGGUAUGCACCAUUGUCGCUGCCAGAGAACGUCGAAAAGGAAAUCGGGACUUGGCGGUGACACCUUGACCGUGGACAUUGGUUGGGGGGGAGGGUGGUGGUGGCUGUUGGGAAUUGUAUCCUAAAUGUCAAUCGUCAGCAUGUUGAUGAUUGAAUUUUGUAAAUGAAUUGACAAAUUAAUAAAGUGUUAUUUGGCAUUAUUCAUCAUUUCAUUAUACAUCUUCAAAUAAACUUUUAUAUGAUGAAGUCCUUAGGACUUGUUUUAUGAUAAAGGAGGAUUUAUCUUCAAGUCCUUAAAACUGUUCGCGAUCAAAUGAUAUGCUAUUACUAGGACGACAGCAUUAUCGAGAUUAGGUCGUUGUGUGACAUAUACGUUGGUUGUCCUCUUAACCAAGGAGUGUGGAGAUACUGAUAUGUCACACAGAUAAAGUGUAGGAGUACAUUUCACUGAACGUGACCAAUUCCGGAAUGCUCUACUGUCAAGAGAUGUUCCGAGUGGAUAUGAGUAUAAGUUUGGCCCUCUGACCUGAGACCGCAACCUGUGACUAGCAAUCAACUCACUGUACUUUGGUACCAGACUAUCUGAAUUUCUAAUUCAGUGACGGAAGGUCACUGGGUACAGUCAAGUACUUGCGUAGUCAGUUAUGAGUCAAGAUGAAAUUGACCCCUUCUGGAAACAGGAGAUAAUGCCUUGUGUUCAAUUUAGCAAAAUCUUGGCCAUGGUAAUCCUUGUGAGGAGUCACAAGAUUUCUAAAAUUGAAUCACAUCAUGGAUGCACUUAUUACAGAGUUGACAGAACUCUGAAGUCAUCUUGGCAUUUUGGAGUCAUAGGGAUAAAUUAUACGGUAACCAUAGUCCAAGGGUUCUUGAAUGUUGCUUUGCAAUCAUUCGGCCUAUCCGGACGUCGGGUACCAUUGCUAGAUAGUCAUUUCGAUUAGUACAAGAAGUUGUUCUUGUGCUACCGGCUUAGGUUCGAACCUAUGGGGUCAUACGCAUAGAAGUUUCUAGGUUGAUCAAAUGGCUGAUUGAUGAUUAAAAAUCAUUCAGGGAUAAUUUGGUCAAUUCGAUUGACAAAUUAUCCUAAGCAAAAGUUGCAUUAAAAUAAUUAUUGAAUUAUUGAAGGGUUAAUUAGUAAUUGGAUUACUAAUAAAUUCAAUUUGAUUAAAUUAUUGGACUUUAAUUAAGCCAAAUUGAAUUAGAUUCAAUUUGGGCUAAAUUAGGGUUUGACCUAAUUCGAUCGGAUUCGACCCGAGCCGAUUGGGCAUAACCUAAUUGAUCGAACUUGACCCAAUUGGAUUGGGAUUGACUCAAGUUAAUUAAGAGUCCUUAUUUGAUGAGGAUUAAGAGUUCAAAUAAUCAGAAUUUAUUAUGGAGAAGAAUUCCUAAAAUUUAGGACCCUAGCUUUCUUUCUUGGAGAAGAAAGAUACCUCAUCCUUAUCCCUAAAAGUAGUGGUGCCUAUCCUCUUUAUUUUUGGCCAAUUUUUGGCAUGAGGAAAGAGGAGGCGUGGGGCUAUUUUCUAGAAAAAUAUGGCACCUCAAAUCUUCCUAAAAAGAUAGGAAUCAAAUCCCUAAUUUGUAGGGACUGCAUGACGCAUCAAGCUGGGUGGCGUGCAGCUGAAGUUUGGGGCGCAAUAACCUUCUGAUUUUUAGGGAUUCUUGGCACAAGAUUAAAGAGAAUUUGUUCAUCUCUUAGCUGCCGAUUCACCAUAAUUUUUUGGAAAUUUUAUCAGCCAAAUUCGUUGGCCAAAAGAGGUGUGAGGCGUUGGGGGUCUUUUGGCUAUAAAAGGACCCCCACACUUAGGAUUUGUUGAGAUGGUCUUUAGAAAGGGUUCUAAAUUUUGAAAAAAAAAUUUGAGAGCCAGCCACCUUCUCUCCUCCUUCUUCUCCUUCAUCUCCAUCCUUCAUCCUCUCGAAGAAGAAUCAAAAGUUGAGUGCUUCGAGGGAGAAAAGUUCAGCCACUGCAGCACCUCUGCACGAGCUAGCACUCAUGCAGUUGUGGAUCUUCCUAGAGCUUCGCGUAGACUAUCCGUAGAGGCCGGACACGUGUGCGGCUAUACAAGGUGAUCAAGGCAUCAUCAAAGUUUUCAAAGCAAAAAGGUAUGAGAUCUGAUCUCAUUAAAAAUUAAAAUUAGAAAUUAACUAGGUUGCUGAAAUUCUGCAUGACUACAUGUUAGACAUAGAAUCAUGCCUACUUGUUUAUGAUAAUUGUUUAAAGUUCUGGAUCUAUUUUUGUUGUAGAGAUAUGAUCUCUAGCAUGCAUAGAAAUUAAAUAGUUUAAUUAAUGCUUUCACUGUAAAAUUUUUAAAAAUAUAUGCAUGCGACCACUAGGGUUUCCAACAGUGGCAGUGCCAUGUUGAGGGGAGGGGAGAUGAGGAUGAAGUAAAUGGCAUUGACGAGCCAUUGCUAAGUGGGCUUAGGGUCGAGGAGGGCAGCAAAGGUAGGCAGGGAGUUGAGGGGGAAGAGAAAUGGAGAUGGGUAAUGGCUUAGCGGUGGAGCAGCUGAAAACAAAUUAAUUUUGGCUUCCUUCUCUUCAGGAUAGAGAUAGGAAGGAGAUAGGGAUGGUAAUUAGGUUGGGUUGAACCAGAUACAAGUAGGGUUGCAUACAAGAUAGAUAAAAGAUAUGUUAACCUGAAGUUGACCUAUUUAUUAAAAGGAUCAAAAAUUUAGACUUAAACCUGAUCAUUUUAUUAAACAGGAAAUGUAACCCAACUUGGAAUGGAUUGAAUCAAGUUAAGCAGUUUAACAUUGCCACCCCUAGAAGGAGAACAAGUUGAUGGCUGGUGUUUGGAUAGAUACAUAGGCGUGCCAUCAAUAUCCGAACUCAAAAGGAAUAAAUGGUAGCGGGUCAUACUAUCUUAACUUUCAAGGACUUUAGCUACUGGUUUGUUGUCGUCUCAAGAAAGAGAGCAGUGACCAGGAACUACGAGAUAUGGGCUACGAUCGAACUACAAAUAUAUAAACUAAAAAGUGCUAAAUAUAACUAGAAGAUAAGCUAGAUAAAUUGAUAAAAGAAACUAGUAUUUAAUUUGAUCGAGGACUCCAAAAGGCUGUCCCAGGAUUACAUUUUUAUACUUAUACACCUUUUUCUUUUAACUCUUGGACUAAUGUCUUCUUCUAGUGUUGACACCUAUCUAUACUGGCUCUUACUACUCCAUCACUUUUUUUGACAAUUACUCUAGUCUGCUUUAUCCGUUUACCCCACCUUUCACAUUUUGUGAUUUCAAUAACCGCC
rnacentral:lncRNA from 1 species